rnacentral:rRNA from 1 species
AUACGGAGGGUGCAAGCGUUACUCGGAAUCACUGGGCGUAAAGCGCGCGCAGGCGGCUUGAUAAGUUGGAUGUGAAAGCCUACGGCUCAACCGUAGAACUGCAUCCAAAACUGUCAGGCUAGAGUCUGGGAGGGGAAGAUGGAAUUAGUUGUGUAGGGGUAAAAUCCGUAGAGAUAACUAGGAAUACCAAAAGCGAAGGCGAUCUUCUGGAACAGUACUGACGCUGAGGCGCGAAAGCGUGGGGAGCAAACAGGAUUAGAAACCCCGGUAGUCC